UACAGAGGGUGCAAGCGUUGUUCGGAAUUAUUGGGCGUAAAGGGUGCGUAGGCGGUGCGGUAAGUCUCUUGUGAAAACUCCGGGCUCAACUCGGAGCCUGCAAGGGAAACUGCCGUGCUUGAGUAUGGGAGAGGUGAGUGGGAUUCCCGGUGUAGCGGUGAAAUGCGUAGAUAUCGGGAGGAACACCUGUGGCGAAAGCGGCUCACUGGACCAUAACUGACGCUGAUGCACGAAAGCUAGGGGAGCAAACAGG
rnacentral:rRNA from 1 species